rnacentral:rRNA from 1 species
GACGAACGCUGGCGGCGUGCUUAACACAUGCAAGUCGAACGGAAAGGCCCCUUCGGGGGUACUCGAGUGGCGAACGGGUGAGUAACACGUGAGUAGCCUGCCCUUGACUUCGGGAUAACUUCAGGAAACUGGGGCUAAUACCGGAUAGGAAUCCUUGCUGCAUGGUGGGGGUUGGAAAGCUUCGGCGGUUUUGGAUGGACUCGCGGCUUAUCAGCUUGUUGGUGGGGUAGUGGCUUACCAAGGCUUUUACGGGUAGCCGGCCUGAGAGGGCGACCGGCCACAUUGGGACUGAGAUACGGCCCAGACUCCUACGGGAGGCAGCAGUGGGGAAUAUUGCACAAUGGGCGGAAGCCUGAUGCAGCAACGCCGCGUGCGGGAUGACGGCCUUCGGGUUGUAAACCGCUUUCAGCAGGGGCGAAGCUUGUGGUGACGGUACCUGCAGAAGAAGCACCGGCUAACUACGUG